GUUUUCACCUAAAAACUGAAUGUUCCAGGCUGUCUGCAUAGAAAUACUUCAUCUUGGUUGUUAAUUCCCUUUGGCCAAUAAGCCAGCCAAGAGCCUAGAAUAGAAGUCAAGGGAAACCGUCGCUGGCUACACCACACGACCGGCCAGACCCCUGGUGACUCACAAAGGUGAGCGAGCCUCGGUCUGGGCCAGUCUGCUGCGGGAGCCAGACAACCGGCAGCGGCAGACCAGAAGCCCCCAGCAAGGAGCCAGGGCCUACAAAGGCUCAAGAGGUCAUCCUAAGUGCCCGCUUCAGAGCAGGAAGCUGGGUCCUGGCCCUGGGGACAUGCCCGAGGUCACAUGGUGACUGGCAGAGGCACCCAUCGUCUGUGGGCCUACCCCAACCAGUGCAAACCAGUUGCUGUGCUGGGAAGGCCAACUCCAAACAGACAUGGAAAGAAAAGAAGUCCUGACGUGCACCUUUCACAUCUCUGGGGAUAUAAAUACUCCCACCUCGGAUUGAUCACAGGCUCCUGGACCCAUGUUGGGUCACCGAAUGUGGGCUUGGGGAGAGCUGCCCGCUCCAGCCCACCGUGGACCCAAACCCAGCUCUGCCUGGUUCUGAGACCGCGCCUCUCCCCACAGUGUGCCAAACCAAACACCUCACCAUGAGCCCAAUUCUUUGUAUUUUUAUGCCCUGCCCUUCAUCCCGAACUCUCCCAGGUUUAGAGCGGGGCAUCCGCUGGGUUAUAAGGAACAGUGUGGUGGCAUCACUGUCCCACAUCUGUCCCCACCACCAGCUGCGAAUCUAGCUCCCGCAGAGAGACAUUUUGCUGAGCGAGUCCAGGGUAUAGUGCAGGGCACCCCUCGAAUCUGGUUCCCGUGUUGCCUGAGGAGCCCUGCUCGGGGCACCCCUAUCUACAUUGACAGGACGGAGGGGCAGCUCGCCAUUCGGAAUGCUACCACGGUGACCUCUCGUCCCCAGCAGGAACAGCGUUGCUAAUGUCCCAGGUCACACGUGGGUUUGGUUUGCACAGCGCCUGUCCCCAAAGCUGGCAACUAUGUAUCCUUUCCGACAAGUGAUUCUAAGACAGCCUGUGGCCUCGGAGCGCCAAGCCUGUGAACAUCGCCACAUCUCAGCUAGCUGCUGUGUGGACCCAUAUGUGGACGCUUUGGACCCCAAGCACAUUUUGUACUGUUUGGGAUCGAGAUUGGGAUCACAAAAGACAGGAUGGUGGACGUGGACCACUCCUAC